rnacentral:tRNA from 2 species
GCCGCUGUAGCUCAGUUGGUAGAGCAGUUGAUUCGUAAUCAAAAGGUGGGAGGUUCGAUUCCUCUCAGCGGCA